CUCUUCAUGUCUAAAAGGUUGGACAUCCAUCUGGCAAAGAUCCAAGGCGUGGUGACGCCUGGAACAGAAGGCCGCAGGACUUUUUUGACAGGCUACUGCUCCAACUUUAGGAAGACUUUUGAAGUUCUUUCUAAUCAGAUUUAGAUCUGAUUUAUGGAGCAUAGAUUCAUGAGGAGAAGAUGUUCUAGGUCCUACCUGAGUGGAUAUUGGUAGAGGCCAGGCGCUUGCGUGGCUACAUCAGAAUCUCGGGCUAUGCAGAGAUCAUCUACAGGGUAAUCAGAUUACCCUUGAGGUAUUUCUUCUUUCAUCAUAGUUUUAGAUUUAAUUUUAGAUUUAAAAUAUUAGAUAAUAAGAUUAGAUCUAGAGAUUUAGAUCUAAAAUACAUGUAGGAUAAAAAAUUUUUAAAUUUAUUCCACCCC
rnacentral:lncRNA from 1 species